rnacentral:lncRNA from 1 species
AAAAUAUUCCAUUUUCUUAUAAAAUAAUUUUUAUAGAGUUAUCUGUAAGAAAUUUUUGUAGCAUAAAAGUGAAAUAAAUUCAUACAUACUGUAAUACAGAUGGUCAUGGUAUGAAAUUUAAUUUACAAUGACACAUGGGCCCCCAAAUGACAAAAGUGAACGAAGGCUGUGAACCUACGAUUUUUGAGGAAGUAAAGCCAACUGUAGCUUUCGACGAUAUCAGCUAUCUAUAGCCUAUUCUGAGCCUGAAAUGGGUGGAAAGGAGGGUGGUGAGAUUAUAUAAUCUCAGUGAGUAAAGAAACAUCAUCCAAAAUAUCUAAAGUCGAGCAAAUGGAGACGAUUAAAAAUUCCAUCUCAAUAUGUAUUUUGUAACAUAAAUAUUCAUUUCAUUUAAAUAAUCAACAUGGCUUAUUAGUAUCUUAAAAGCUUGGCUCCUGCCAAAAUCAUUCUCGAGAAUACCUUGGUCGAGGCAUCUAACAGAGUCCACCAAGGCUGUUAAAAAUUUCGUAUACACGUAAACAUAUUUUUAGUUUGAAAAACACAACCGUUCCUUGGCAUUAGCGGAGUUCAUCAUCACAAGGUGGUUUAGCGUGACGUGAACUCUAACCAUACCUCAGAAGAUACCCUACGCACCUCUCUGAUCGAGGUACGUAUAUAAACGGAUUUCGUGCCCCUCUAAUAGGCUGGUCCACAGAACCCGCCCACUGCAGCAAGCUAAACCCACCAUACAAUAAAAAUUCAACAGCAUGACAUGGCAAUUUUAUCAUUAUCCAACCUAUCAAGGUAAACAAUAGUUUAUACAUUUUCAACACAAAUACCAAUUCAAUCAUUCAUGCCAAUAUUUCCAUAAGCCAAUCAAUUAGAACCAUAAAUUCACAAUACAUCAAAUGGUCUCCAAUUACUCUAUUUUCAAAGCCAUCAUUCAAUUUCAAGACAAUUUAUAAAAUCAUUUCAUUUAAACACAUUUUGUUUAUAAAACCUAAAAAUUUAACCAUUUAAACUCAUUUUCCAUAACAUUCACAAAAUCGAAUAAAAAGACCAUUUUAGAUAAUUAAAAUGAUGAUAAGGUUACUCACUAUUUCGGGAGUCAAAUUUUUAUUUGACUAUCGAUCCUCGGGUACAAUUUCUUUGCCCUUAUCGGAGGAUUCACCACCUAGACAAAAUGCACAAUCAAGCAAUUUACCACAUUGGUGCUAAAUCGUUAUAAAACUAUAUGGAUGCAUGAAAUGGAAUGCAAAUUGUUCGGAUUAUCGUCUAAACAUGGUGUUCUACACAAAUUCAAUUGUGUACCUAAAUAAAACGAUAUUGGCCUAAUUCGAUCUAUCACUCGAUUAAUUGGCCAAUAUGUCCUAUUCAACUCUAAUUAACUCCAUUUUUCUUCCAAUAAUCCAAACCAUCAAACACAAGUCAAAUAGCAUAAAAUUUAGCAAAAUUAUCUUCACAUUUUCUCUUGGGAAUUUUGGCCAUGGUGGGUGCAUCAGCACUAUGAUUUUUCCUACUUGAUUUUCUCACCGUAAUUCAUCAUUUCCUAACCAAUUCACUUAAAAUAAAAUCAAAUCCACCAUCCACACUCUACAUGGAAAAUUCAGCUAAUGAUGGGUAAUAGGAGGAAGUGAAUUUUUCUUGUUGGCUUUUCAUGCUACACAUCACUAACUAUCUAAAAGUACUAAAAUACAUUGAAAUCUAACCAAAUCAAGCAUCAAAACGUCCCUCUAAGUGUUCGGCCAGCAAGGGAUUCAUCAUGAAAUCAUGUGAUUCAACCAUGGAAAAUGCAAAAGAAUGUAUGGGAAUGGUAGAUCACAAGUCAAAAUCAUGAAAUUUUACCUUUGAUUGCUUGAUUACUUGAAAUCUACUAAUUUUUCUCUUGAAUUUUCACUCUAGGGUUUUUGUUCUUUCUUGUCUUCCUUUGUUCUUGCUUUGGCCGGC